GACGAACGCUGGCGGCGUGCCUAACACAUGCAAGCCGAGCGAGGAACUUCGGUUCCUAGCGGCGGACGGGUGAGUAACACGUGGGUAACCUGGCUCAUAGAGGGGGAUAGCCUUCCGAAAGGGAGAUUAAUACCGCAUAAGAAGUGAGAAUCGCAUGGUUCUAGCUUUAAAGGAGUAAUCCGCUAUGAGAUGGGCCCGCGGCGCAUUAGCUAGUUGGUGAGGUAACGGCUCACCAAGGCGACGAUGCGUAGCCGACCUGAGAGGGUGAUCGGCCACAUUGGAACUGAGACACGAUCCAGACUCCUACGGGAGGCAGCAGUGGGGAAUAUUGCACAAUGGGCGAAAGCCUGAUGCAGCAACGCCGCGUGAGUGAUGACGGCCUUCGGGUUGUAAAGCUCUGUCUUUGGGGACGAUAAUGACGGUACCCAAGGAGGAAGCCACGGCUAACUACGUGCCAGCAGCCGCAGUAAAAC
rnacentral:rRNA from 1 species